rnacentral:rRNA from 1 species
AUUGAACGCUGGCGGCAUGCUUUACACAUGCAAGUCGAACGGCAGCACGGACUUCGGUCUGGUGGCGAGUGGCGAACGGGUGAGUAAUACAUCGGAACGUACCCAGUAAUGGGGGAUAACUAUCCGAAAGGAUAGCUAAUACCGCAUACGCCCUACGGGGGAAAGAGGGGGAUCGCAAGACCUCUUGUUAUUGGAGCGGCCGAUGGCUGAUUAGCCAGUUGGUAGGGUAAAGGCCUACCAAGGCAACGAUCAGUAGCGGGUCUUAGAGGACGAUCCGCCACACUGGAACUGAGACACGGUCCAGACUCCUACGGGAGGCAGCAGUGGGGAAUCUUGGACAAUGGGCGCAAGCCUGAUCCAGCAAUGCCGCGUGCGUGAAGAAGGCCUUCGGGUUGUAAAGCGCUUUUGUCAGGGAGCAAAUCCUUGUGGCUAAUACCCACCGGGGAUGAGAGUACCUGAAGAAUAAGGACCGGCUAACUACGUGCCAGCCGCCGCCGUAAGAC